rnacentral:tRNA from 1 species
ACCUGGCUGGCUCAGUUGGUGGAGCGUGCGACUCUUGAUCUCAGGGUCGUGAGUUUGAGUCUCACGUUGGAUG